CCUACGGGAGGCAGCAGUGAGGAAUAUUGGUCAAUGGGCUUACGCCUGAACCAGCCAAGUCGCGUGAGGGAAGACUGCCCUAUGGGUUGUAAACCUCUUUUGUCAGGGAGCAACGCCGGCUACGUGUAGCCGGACUGAGAGUACCUGAAGAAAAAGCAUCGGCUAACUCCGUGCCAGCAGCCGCGGUAAUACGGAGGAUGCGAGCGUUAUACGGAUUUAUUGGGUUGAACGGGUGCGUAGGCGGAAUGCCAAGUCAGCGGUAAAUUAGCGGGGCUCAACCUCGCUCCGCCGUUGAAACUGGCGUUCUUGAGUGGGCGAGAAGUAUGCGGAAUGCGUGGUGUAGCGGUGAAAGGCAUAGAUAUCACGCAGAACUCCGAUUGCGAAGGCAGCAUACCGGCGCCCAACUGACGCUGAAGCACGAAAGCGUGGGUAUCGAACAGGAUUAGAUACCCGAGUAGUC
rnacentral:rRNA from 1 species